rnacentral:rRNA from 1 species
AGAACGACUCUCGGCAACGGAUAUCUCGGCUCUCGCAUCGAUGAAGAACGUAGCGAAAUGCGAUACUUGGUGUGAAUUGCAGAAUCCCGUGAACCAUCGAGUCUUUGAACGCAAGUUGCGCCCGAAGCCAUCANGUCGAGGGCACGUCUGCCUGGGCGUCACAC